GCGCACCAGGCGAGAAUCCUUUACAAUGCCUUCACGGGCGAUAAGGGGAUCCUGAGUGCUCUAGCAUUGCUAGAGCUUUUCCAGAGUGUAAAAAGCUCUGGGAAUAAGUGGUGGGUAAGACGGGUGCCAGCCGCCGCGGUAAUACCCCGCGCCACAAGUGGUGACCACGUUUAUUGGGUCUAAAGCGUUCGUAGCCGGCUCAAUAAAUUCUCGGUGAAAUCCUGUGUGAAACAUAGGAAGUGCCGAGAAGACUGUUGAGCUAGGGACCGGGAGAGGCUGAGGG
rnacentral:rRNA from 1 species